AGCAGUGCUGGGAAGAGAACAGGAACCCUGUGGAUAUCGGUGGGACUUGUUGAGAAAUUCAGAGUCAGCUUGUCACAGCCCGGGGCCUCUUUCCAUGCUACACACUGGCAGACGCCCUGCCACCAGAAAAGCUGGCAUCCAAUGCAUGCUACAGGCAUUUCCACCUGCUCUUUAAAUACAUUCUUUUUUGAGACAGGGUUUCAAUAUACAGCCAGGCUGGCCUAGGACUGUGUAGUCCAAGCUGACCUUGAACUGGCAAGCCUCCCUUCUCUGCCUCACAGGUGCUAGGAUUACGGGAAUGCUCUACCAAGCUUGGCCUCUAUUGACUUUCUCAAUGUUGGCCGCAGCUUCCCUAUUCCUUGAGAGUUCUGCAGGAGAAAUCCCAAAGACAACCAAUUCUGUAUUAAACAACUGUCGGUAUUUUUUAGGAACCUCCUUCUAACUUCAGGAUCUCAGCCAACUGCUUUCCGAAGUCCCUGUUCCUGGCAGAAAGACAAAUUGUGUACUGAGAUCCAUGCUGGCCUUCAGCUAUAGCGGGAAGUUCACGCCUGGAAUGGGGUCAGAGGUUUCAGAGAUGAGGUUCUUGAUUUGUUCCAUUUUGAGAGAGAAGCAUCUUCUUUUUGUAGUCCAGGCUAGCCACAAACUUGCAGUCUUCCUAAUUCACCCUUUUUCGUGCUGGUAUUAUAAGCAUAUGCUACCAUACCAGGCUCUUAGCCUGGGCCCUACAGUUUUGGUUGGUCUCAAACUCACUGUGUAGCUUAGGGUGCCUUUGAAGGUCUGACCCUUUAGUGCUGGGAUUAAAGGCAAUAUUGUUUGGAGACGGACUAUGUGGGCCCUGGCUAGAAUUUGCUAUGUAGACCAGUCUGGCCAGGAAUUCAGAGAUCCUCCUGCCUCUGCCUUGCUAGUGAUGGGAUUAAAGACGUAGGUCACCACACUUGGACAGAAUUGCUGUUCAGACUCAUCUUGCCUUUUAGAAUCAUAUGGAAAAGCAAGGAUCAAGAAAAGUCGCUUUUGCCCUGUGCCGCUGCUGCCCCCAGCGGCCGGAGGCGGGAGCGCGGGCAGGUGGCUCCCGGACUCCCGGGCCGCAGUGACUUUCCACUAAGCUGCGCCGCUGAGCCCUUUUAAAUGCCUUUCUUUGCACGUGGUUGCUGUGAGUCAUCUCCUUUCCCUAGACAAAGAAAUCUAGGCUUUGCUAAUCGGGUUUCCGGAGUCCGCUAAGGCGUGAGUCAAACUCGUGCUUCCCGAGAGCUGUAACCGUUUGCUCCUCUCCCAGGGGAAGCGCCCGUUGCACGGGUGCAAAUCUGCGUUUCUGUGGAGUCUGGGACCAAAGGACCCACGCGGCGAGAUGGCUCCUGGCUCCACGGGUAAAGGCGCAUGCGUAAAUCCUGACACCUGCGAUCAGCCCCAUGAGAAGGCGGGAACCGAUUUCAACAAGUUGUUCUCUCACCUUCACACAGGUUUAAAAUAAAUAAGUAAAUAUCUAAAUAGUGUUGUUAGCUGGGCAGGGUGGAGCAUGCUUGUAAUCCCAGCACUUGUGAGAUGAACCCAGAAGGAUCAGGAGUUCAAGGCCAGCCAUGAUUACAUAGUCUCUGCUGAGUGUUAGGCCAUUACAUGAGACUCUGUCUCAAAACAGAAAAACGUGGUUAUUUUAAAAACCUAAUAAAUAAGUAAAUAAGUAAAUGAAUAAAUAAA